rnacentral:rRNA from 1 species
GACGUAGGGCGCGAGCGUUGUCCGGAUUUAUUGGGCGUAAAGAGCUCGUAGGCGGCUUGUCGCGUCGUCUGUGAAAACCCGCGGCUCAACGGCGGGCUUGCAGUCGAUACGGGCAGGCUGGAGUUCGGUAGGGGAGACUGGAAUUCCUGGUGUAGCGGUGAAAUGCGCAGAUAUCAGGAGGAACACCGGUGGCGAAGGCGGAUCUCUGGGCCGUAACUGACGCUGAGGAGCGAAAGCAUGGGGAGCGAACAGG